CAUCAUCAUCAUCGGCCUCGUGGGAGUCGGUGUCUGGAAGCUCCGAUCCGGGAAGAGGGAGGGGAAUGGAUACGACCCCGCGCCCACCACAGGAAUCACAGCCUGAG